rnacentral:rRNA from 1 species
UACAGAGGUCUCAAGCGUUGUUCGGAUUCAUUGGGCGUAAAGGGCGCGUAGGCGGGAUGGCAAGUCGGUCGUGAAAUCCCUCGGCUCAACCGAGGAACGUCGAUCGAUACUGCUGUUCUUGAGGAUUGCAGAGGAGACUGGAAUUCCCGGUGUAGCGGUGAAAUGUGUAGAGAUCGGGAGGAACACCGGUGGCGAAGGCGGGUCUCUGGGCAAUUCCUGACGCUGAGGCGCGAAAGCGUGGGGAGCAAGCGGG